rfam:Lysinibacillus macroides strain DSM 54 Scaffold4, whole genome shotgun sequence.
AUAAAAUGCAAGGAUUGCUUUCAUAUAAGUUCGAUAAUAGGGUUCGAAUGUUUCUACGAAAUCGCCAUAAAUGAUUUCUCUAUGAGGGUGGAUGUUUUAUUU